ACCCUUGUAGCUCAGUUGGUUAGAUCGUCGUGCUUAUACUUAUAAUGUUCAAUAUGAACGGUAUAUGUAUCACGAAUGUCCCUGGUUCGAGCCCAGGUAAGGGUA